UGCUGGUUCAGGAUAUGUAUGUGCAUGUGUGUGUGUGCACACGCGUGUGUGUAUGGAGGGUCACAAAUUUUCCUCCACAGGAUCAUAAAGCCAAACUGGCCACUGUUUUGGCAUACUCUCUUUAUAUAAAUUUAACACACCUUCCCGGGCUUUUCUUUUUAAAAGUAAAAAAAAGAAGGACACCGCGUACAGUGUGGAAACUUUUUGUCAAUCUCUCAACUGUAACAAGAUUAUCCUCUGCCGCCUUAAAGAAUCCCUGCAAACAACCCCUGGAAGGUGUUAAACAGAGGAAAGGCACGAUCAUGACCUCGCCUCUUCUUGCUAUGGAGACUCCUUUGUGAGAAUGCUGGUGUCCCUGAGAGAUGAUGUCCUGCAAGUUUCAACCUGUCCCAUAGCCCAGAAUGCUGGGGCAAAAUACAACUACACAACAAUAAGCAAUCAUCCUGGAUAUAACCUCAUUUAUGUGUGAAAAGUUUGUUUUUAGAAACACCUUAUUAUCGAAAUCUCAAGCAAAUACAAAAGUAGAAAAUAUAACGCAUUUCCACGUACUCAUCACCCAGAUCCCGCAAUUAUC
rnacentral:lncRNA from 1 species